GACCCUGUAGCUCAGCCUGGUUAGAGCGCCGGUCUUAUAAACCGGAGGUCCUGAGUUCAAAUGUGGACUGCGUUU
rnacentral:tRNA from 1 species